UGUUACUUUUGUAAGUUUCAAGUGAUUUCAGUGAGAAUUGUGGGUGUGUCCUUCUUUAACUGAGGGGUACCAACACUUUUGUCCACCACUGUAGAUAUAUAUGUAUGUUUAUUCAAUCAUCAGGUGGAACUUGAUUGUCACUGAUUUACAACAGCUACGUUGCCGUGAGGAUCGUGCACUUUGGUUGUUUUUUUCACUCAUCUUGUGGUCCCUCUCACAGCUCUUCCAACUUCAUGUUAAUAAUCCUACAGCUGGUUCAUUUCCGUUCGUUGUCCUCAGCCCAUGUCCUCACAGUUUCACCUGACCCUGAAGAACUGAAAACGACGGAUCAAGUCAGCUGUGGAUGAUUGAGAACGUAAACCUGCUGAGUGACAGGGAAAACUUGGAAACAGAACAUGUCAAGAACAAUACUAUUAUUAACUACCUGCACUAAUAGGGUUAUAACAAUCAAAACUGUGUUGUUUGAUGC